AUACGGAGGAUCCGAGCGUUAUCCGGAUUUAUUGGGUUUAAAGGGAGCGUAGGCGGACUAUUAAGUCAGCUGUGAAAGUUUGCGGCUCAACCGUAAAAUUGCAGUUGAUACUGGUCGUCUUGAGUGCAGUAGAGGUAGGCGGAAUUCGUGGUGUAGCGGUGAAAUGCUUAGAUAUCACGAAGAACUCCGAUUGCGAAGGCAGCUUACUGGACUGUAACUGACGCUGAUGCUCGAAAGUGUGGGUAUCAAACAGGAUUAGAUACCCUGGUAGUCCACACAGUAAACGAUGAAUGCUCGCUGUUUGCGAUAUACGGCAAGCGGCCAAGCGAAAGCAUUAAGUAUUCCACCUGGGGAGUACGCCGGCAACGGUGAAACUCAAAGGAAUUGACGGGG
rnacentral:rRNA from 1 species